UUAAGAUGACUGACUCAUCGAUCCAUAAUAUUCUCAAGAGAAACUCGUCUAAGUGUAGAAUCAUGUAACAACUGUUAUCAAGUCUACACUUGAACAGUCUCCGCACUACAUCCUAAAUAGGCCAAGAGGGGUUAAAUGUUCUACGGUCCUAAGCUUCUCGGACCCCAAAUUAGAGAUAGUAAUGCCUAACCACAAAUACUUGUGUGACAUUUCCAAAUCCAAAAAGGUCUCCACUGAGCAGAUGGGUCUCAAGCCAAC
rnacentral:lncRNA from 1 species